ACAGCUGGCUCUGUCGUUGCGCACCACCAGCGUGUGUGGAAGCAGCGUGUGGAUCAGAUGCAGAGAGAGGCAAAACAAACAAACAACAAAACCCAUGUCUGCUCAGAGACGCCGCUUUGUGCUCCAUUCAAAGAAUCAGGAUUUUUCCAUUUCAGCGAUCCGAAUUCAUAAUUCUGUCUGGUUCCAUUCGCGCUUGGAGAGAGAGAGAGAGAGAGAGAGAGAGAGAGAGAGCUCCCCGAGGUGUCAGGCCUACUAUUCCUCUCUGAGUGAGGACCUGUUGUGCAGGGUGCAACAGCCCACGUGUGACCACAACAGGUAGUGGUAGAGGCUUUCUAGCUGUGAAAGAUGAGUGCACAUGUACGCUCCUCGGCGGACACUCACAUUGUAUUAACAUGCGUUAUGAGUCGUGAUUCAGUCAGUCAUAGCCUGUGUAUAAUAUUCAGAAUCAUUUAGAUGUGUGUGUGUGUGUGUUUAAACACCUGUGACGUCUGAAAAACACAGUUCUGCUUAUAUUAUUCAAUUAGACCGUUCUGUGCUAUGCCUUAAUUGUGCGUUAAAGUCUAGUCCAAAUGCUACUGUCUUUUAAACAAAACAUAAUACUGUCCUGAUAGGCUUUUUAACGCGUAAACGGCACCAUACACACACACACACAUGUGGCCCCGUCGACAGUUAGUGUGUGUUUUCAUCGGGGCAGGACACACGUGAGAGAGGAAAACACAGCGCGCGCGCACACACACACACACACACACACACACACACACACACACACACACACACACACACACACACACACACAGCGAUCAAAGAUGGCGCGUGCUUCUCUUUGGAUGCCUCAAAUAUAGCCCGCUGUGAUGCAGUCUCCAUGGUGACGGUCGUUUCCUCGGUAACCCCGGUCACCGUUGCCAUGGCAUCCUUGUUUCCACAGUAACCUCCCAGAUGGCUUGGAAGCUAAAUCGAAGAUCCUCAUCGAAACAGGCUUUAAUAAGACUGUUUUAUUUUUUCCUCGCGUGCGUAAAAAAAACACGAGCCCAACCAUACCCAGCGCCACUAUCGCUCACCAAAGAGCUCGGCCCACUGGCUUAAACACAAAUUGGAGUAAAAAAGAAAGAAAGAAAGAAAGAAAGAAAGAAAGAAAGAAAGAAAGAAAGAAAGAAAGAAAGAAGUCUGUUUACGAAUUGCCACAAUGAACUGAAAAUGAACCGGGCACAACUCAGAGAGGCGAUGAUGAGCCGGGAGAGAGAGCGAUAGAUAGAGAGAGGAUGGAGGGGCAGCAGCGCGUGAGGAAUUAUGAAUGGGACUGGGAGCGCAUUGUGUCUGGCUGUCUGGAGUGCGCUACUGCGGGCGCCCAGCAGAGGCUGCUGUUCUCCCACUGAUGAAACUGGUGAAAGUUGUUGAAUUUUUUUGCACAGAUCUCCUGGAAAUCCUGAUGAUCCCAGUUAGACUGCCUCUCUUUUAGGAGCGCAGUGACUGUGGUCUUCCUGUUGGGCCCGGUGGGCCAAAGUUAAGAGUUGAGACAGAGCUCCCACUGGAUCAAUUUUAACUUCCCUACCCUCAUCCUCCUGACUCGUGUCCUCAAACCUGGCAUUCUAACAAGCGGUGCUUAGCAGGUCUCCCCCUCCGGAGGAUCACCACUCAAUCCAAAAUGCAACAAAAUGCAAUCGCAAGAAUAACAGAUGCAUAAAAAUAUCACACGUACGGUUUUGUAGCUGCAGUUUUCGCGACUGCUUCUUUUUCUGGAGACAAUACGUUAGAAGUGGAACCAUCACAAGAUCAGAAGUGAACCAGGCAGUGACAGAAUUCAGCUGGAACUGUGUUUUGGACUCUGACAUAUCUCCAUACUGCUUUCUAUAUACAAUUCAAAAGGACAGAUACAGGAAACAGCCAGCAAUUUGCAAAGCACAUCUAAUUCCUGGACUUUACACAGAUUUCUACAUUUCUUCUGUCUUCAUACUUCUGGGUAAUGAUAUUCAUUACGGACAUUAACUGACAAACAGCUUUUUGCUUCGAGUCAAAAGUGGCAAAGUCUGAGGCCACCUGUGAUUUGCUGAUAUGAAACUGUGAUACCAAUCAAAGACUGUUAGCCAUAUGCCUUUCUUAGCUCUGUGUGCUCUGUAUUGCUAAUACGUGAAACACAUAUGUACGUGUGCUGGUCGCAGCUAUUCCCCUGACACGGAGAACAAUACAAAGGCAUGCACACACAAAUGCAGACACAACAAACACACACAUGCCUGUGAAUAGCUCUCUUGUAUCCCAGAGUGCACAGGUGUCUUUUCGGGGACGGGGUAGAAUAUUGUCAGGGGAAGGCUGUGUACACUGGUAUUUGUUCUGUGUUACUAUGUUCCGUCUUUAACAUGACCCAUAUAAAGAGA